rnacentral:rRNA from 1 species
GCAGGCUGCAACUCGCCUGCAUGAAGCUGGAAUUGCUAGUAAUCGCGGAUCAGCAAGCCGCGGUGAAUACGUUCCCGGGUCUUGUACACACCGCCCGUCACACCAUGGGAGUCGGGAAUGCCCGAAGUCAGUGACCGAACCGAAAGGGGGAGCUGCCGAAGGCAGGCCUGGUAACUGGGGUGAAGUCGUAACAAGGUAAC